UUUUACCUACGGGGGGCAGCAGUGAGGAAUAUUGGUCAAUGGGAGAGAUCCUGAACCAGCCACGCCGCGUGAGGGAAGACGGCCCUAUGGGUUGUAAACCUCUUUUGUCGGAGAACAAAACCCGGGACGUGUCCCGGACUGCGUGUAUCCGAAGAAAAAGCAUCGGCUAACUCCGUGCCAGCAGCCGCGGUAAUACGGAGGAUGCGAGCGUUAUCCGGAUUUAUUGGGUUUAAAGGGUGCGCAGGCGGGCUGUUAAGCCGGCGGUAAAAA
rnacentral:rRNA from 1 species